rnacentral:antisense_RNA from 1 species
GCGGCGAAUUGCAUGUACAGUA